rnacentral:rRNA from 1 species
GAUGAACGCUGGCGGCGUGCCUAACACAUGCAAGUCGAGCGGCAGCGAGGGGUGCUUGCACCCUGUCGGCGAGCGGCGGACGGCUGAGUAACGCGUGGGAACGUGCCCCAAAGUGAGGAAUAACUGCCCGAAAGGGUAGCUAAUACCGCAUAUUAUCUUCGGAUCAAAGGAUUUAUCCGCUUUGGGAGCGGCUCGCGUCGGAUUAGGUAGUUGGUGAGGUAAUGGCUCACCAAGCCGACGAUCCGUAGCUGGUCUGAGAGGAUGACCCGCCAGACUGGAACUGAGCCGCAGUCCAGACUCCUCCGGGAGGCAGCAGUGACGGAUCUUCCACAAUCGGCGAAAGCCUGAUGGAGCAACGCCGCGUGCACGCCGAAGGCCUUCAGGUUGUAAACUGCUUUUAUAAGUGAGGAAUAUGACGGUACCUUAUGAAUAAGGAUCGGCUAACUACGUG